UACAGUCACGUCAAACAGUGCAGCCAGAAUAACAACAAAGUAGCUGCAAUUGUUUAAGCAGUUUUUUAGUGACAUUUAUUUGGAUACAUCCAUAACCAUGAGAUAAUGAGGUGCGAUUUCGCCUGGCAUGAAAAAUGUGCUCUCUCAUCCGGACAUUGUUGUUCAGAGGAGCUAGCCAACAACACAGUUAACACAAUUUCCUUUCCCGGGAGGUUUUUGUGUGAAUGUCCAGGGUUUCGCGGGAAAUUGUCCUUGAGCUUUUGAUCGGGAGUGUACCGUGUAAUAUUUACAGUCUGUUCCCACUCAAUGAUGACUUCUCCCAUCAAUCAAGGGUCUGCCUGUCUUGCCUUGACGCCCCGGGCCCUUAGGUCCUGCAGUUUCUGGGUCAGUGGGACCCAUAACUGUCACUCUUGCCCACGACAUGCUGGUGUCAGAUAUAACCCCAGACACCCUGGUGACAUUGGACAUCUCCCAACUUUAUGAACAUUUCAAGUAGAACAAAUCUUCCUAUUAGUAUUUUGGGAUUGUGGUGGUUAAUACAGGGUAGACAGACAAGUUCUCUACUUUCUACCCUUGUCACUUGCCUCCUUUUUUGCAGUAAUGCUGCAGUCACUUGGUUGCAUGUUGUCACGGUCGUUAAGAGACGGGUCAGACCAAGGCGCAGCGUGAAAUGCAUACAUGUUUAUUAAUCAAAAUAAACACACAAA